rnacentral:tmRNA from 1 species
AGGCUUGAAACCAGACCCGCGCAUCCGUAUGUCUAAGGGGUCUCUUCGGGGACUAUGGACAUAAACGCGCUCGCAAUAAGCGGAUCGGACCCGGGGGCGGUACCCGGCGACUCCACCACCAACUCCCUCAUUUGGGGACAGAUGGGGUCGAAAUAGGAUCGACGAACGUCUAAAGGGGUUAGCUUUGUUUCGGUGAGUUACCACCGUUAUCGGUACAAAUCGUACAGUUGCAAAUGACAACCGUGCUCCGGCAAUGGCUUUGGCAGCGUAAGCUGCUUAAGUCGCCGAACUUAAGUCCUUGCGCCUAGCAGUGUAAGGCGGGGCCCGCCGGAGCCUGGCAACAGAAUCCGGCACC